UACGUAGGGGGCAAGCGUUGUCCGGAAUCAUUGGGCGUAAAGCGCGUGUAGGCGGUUCGGUAAGUCUGCUGUGAAAGUCCAGGGCUCAACCCUGGGAUGCCGGUGGAUACUGUCGGGCUAGAGUACGGAAGAGGCGAGUGGAAUUCCCGGUGUAGCGGUGAAAUGCGCAGAUAUCGGGAGGAACACCAAUUGCGAAGGCAGCUCGCUGGGACGUCACUGACGCUGAGGCGCGAAAGCGUGGGGAGCGAACAGG
rnacentral:rRNA from 1 species